GGAAGGAUCAUUACUGAAUUGUCAAACGGGUUGUUGCUGGUCCUCAAAUGGGGACAUGUGCACGCUCUGUUUACACAUCCACUCACACCUGUGCACCCUCUGUAGUUCUGCGGUAUGGGGGACCCCGUCUUCCUUCUGUGGUUCUAUGUCUUUACACACACACUGUAAUAAAGUCUUAUGGAAUGUAUGCCGCGUCUAACGCAAUACAAUACAACUUUCAGCAACGGAUCUCUUGGCUCUCGCAUCGAUGAAGAACGCAGCGAAAUGCGAUAAGUAAUGUGAAUUGCAGAAUUCAGUGAAUCAUCGAAUCUUUGAACGCACCUUGCGCCCCUUGGCUAUUCCGAGGGGCAUGCCUGUUUGAGUAUCAUGAACACCUCAACUCUCAUGGUUUGCCAUGAUGAGCUUGGACCUUGGGGGUUUUGCUGGCCUGUGGUCGGCUCCUCUCAAAUGAAUCAGCCUCCCAGUGUUUGGUGGCGUCACGAGUGUGAUAACUAUCUACGCUCGCGGUUGUCCACCAGGUAACCUUUGGUGACAAAGGUUCGCUGGAGCUCAUAGAUGUCUCUCCUCAGCGAGGACAGCUUUUUAACGUUCGAUCUCAAAUCAGGUAGGACUACCCGCUGAACUUAAGCAUAUCAAUAAGCGGAGGA
rnacentral:sRNA from 1 species